UUGCAUCUAGCUAAAGUCUUACAUAAAAAAUUCAUCUACUACAACGUAAUAGAUUUGAAAUGCUUAAUUUCCUUCUUUACUUAUUAUGGUGUUCUUUUUUGUGUCUUUUAGAUAUAUAUGUUGCAAUGUUUUCCAGUGGCCAGGUUUGGCUUCCAACCUUUUCUCGUUCCGCCGGUGAACACCCUGCAAAAUUGCUUGCUCCCCUGAAAAGGGGAUUCCCUCCAACUAAAGAACCAUUGUCCAUAAUCAGAGUGUGCUGUUGUCAUAUAAAUAUAUAUAGGCUCUUUCCGAAGAAAAUAAUAGAUAUAUUUUUUGUGAAACAUAGGUAUCAAUAAAUUUAGUUGCAGUUUACCUGAUCUAGAUAAGUACUGAUAAAGCAGGCUAUUUGACGUAACAUAAAUGAUGAUCGUAUUAUUUCUUUCGGUCAAGUUGACAUAUCAAUCGAUUUAUUUGCAUCUUCCUUUGAUGAAUCUCUGUACUCUCGCACCAACCACCUACGAAUGCUACACUAUCCCACUACACAGCCCCUUGGCCACAAUUUCGCACCACACAGCCCCUUACUCACUUCUUUAUAAUAAGAUCUCUGAUCAACUGUGCUUUGACUCAUCACAUUCAUGGUUCAUCGUAAAACUGGCACCACUUCCUCCUAGAAACCUUGUCAACCUCCGUUGCUCAAUCAUGUAAGCAAAUACAAAGCUAUCGGAAUCUGGCACCACUUCCUC
rnacentral:lncRNA from 1 species